CGCACGCAGGUUCUGCGGUUCUUAUAUAUAAAUAAAAGAGUCGCUCCGGUGGUUUUCAAAUAAACUACAUUCCUGCGGAGGUUUAACCGGAGAAAGGAAAUAC
rnacentral:sRNA from 1 species